rnacentral:lncRNA from 1 species
GGCAGGGCAGGGCAGUGCAGUGUCCUCUCCCCCUCCUGUCCCAGCCCCCUGCCCACAGCAGCCUUAGGGCUCGGCUAGGGAGCGGUGGUGUGGGGUCGUGAGAGGGCUGGGGGAGAUGGCUGUGUUGGGCUCACCCCAGCACUGCCCACCACAGCUCAGAGAAAAGACCUUGGGGUCAGCCAUGACCUGUUGAAUGAGGAUUGCACCUCCGCCUGUUUCCAGUCUGCUCUCUCCAAUGUAUUUUCUUUUGGGUGCAGUGAUUUGAGCCCAGUUUGCAGGAGUACAGGGGCAGUGGCCGUCUGAAGAUGGCAUCUCUGAGUGCAAAACAUGCUGCGCCAAGUUGGAAGCAUAAAAGGAUGCAGGGGGAAGGAACAGAGAUUUUCCCAAACACCCAGUGGACUUGGUGUUAUUCCAAGGUGAUGGUUUCAUUAUGGUAUAUGGACAUUUCCAGCGGGGUCUUGAGAGCCCCAUGGAGCUGCAGGCCACCUCAGCGUCUGGGAUGCAGGACCCCUUUCCUGCCAGAGCCAAACCCCAAAGGGGGACCCACUCCCAGGGAAACCUGUCAUGGAUUCCUAUGCCCCCCCCACCCUAAGAGGUGAUGGAGCUGGCCGCACAGAAGCCUUGGGGCUCAGGACAGCCCCAGCCCCAGGACCCAGCAGUCCUGGCUGUCACAUUGUCCCCUGAGCCAGAGGGGACACUCAGGCAGGGCUCUCGCAGCAGCCCCCAGCCCUGUCCAGCCACCCCCACAGCCCAGGAUCCACAGCAGUUUUGGCAGUUAACAGUCUCUGUGCAACGCCUCGGGAAGGAGCUCCCAAAGCCCUUACCCUCAGUGGAGAGCCACAGGAGUGUUGGGAACAAGGAGCUGUGGUCCAGGCUGAUGGUGUCCGUCCAGCAGUCCUCCAUCUUGCUUGCCCUCUUGCUCUCGUUUCACCUCUCCAGCCAGAGAAACAGGACGCUCCUCCCAUCUCAUUUCCCAAAACUCCUUUCCAACAUGCCCCUGCUCCUCUGUCUGUUGGUGAGGGGCCCCAACGUGGUCCCACUGCCUCCUGUCCCCUCGCCUUGCCGUGGAGCCACUAUGAAGGGCAGCUGUGGGGAGGGUGUGAGCAGUGCCCAGGAGCUGUCUGGCUCUCUCUUCUGUUCCCACAUUCCCCGAUUAAAUUGACAGUUUGUAGCCUCACCUUUACAACACACCAUCUGGACACUGCAACAUUGUGACUCCUCCCCUAGCUCAUUCCCAUAGGCAGCUGCUGAUUUGUGACCUGCCUAUUGGCUGGCAGGAGGAGGGGGGUGGGUCUGGAUUUCACUGAUGGCUCUGUCAGCCAAUUGGAGUCCACCAUGUGGAAGAAAAAAAGACGUGAAAGAGAGAGGUGAAAGAGGAGAGGGAGCGAAGCAGGGGAGGCUUUGGGUGGAAAGCAGGACHGGGCUUGGGCAGCUUGUUUCUCACAAGAACAUGAGAAACGCUCUGCCCCCCCUGCCCAGUGUAACUGCUCUGCCUGGCCCUGAGGCACAGGAGGACUCAGGGUGGAGAUCGGGCUCUGCAGAGAAGAGCCCCAGGGGCAGAGUUAGGAAACAAGAAAAGACCUCGAAURCGRAAARVCRGCAUCUUUAAGUACACCAGAAACCAGCAGGGGCUGGAAAAUGCCCCAAGCUGUAGUAAAAGUUUCUGAGCAUAAAGAAAAAUCAAUGAAAAAAAAAAAACCUGUUCAAAUGUGAAUAAUAGAUGGAUGUAACCGAGUAACCUUAAAAGAAGUAGCUUCAGCAGUUACCGUUAAAACCAAACUAUAACAACCGAAUGGCCUUGGUAGGGUUUACUUUUUGUUUGGGUUUUACAGAGUGACCCUCUGAAGAGCAACAACUUGAAAAGAAGCAGCCAGAAAGAGUGGUAGAAUUGUUAUGCUAAGUAAUGUGUUUUUUAAAAUUAUCUAAAUAAUAGAAUGAAUCUAGGAGCCAGCAGAGAAGUAACAUCAAAGGAAGAUGGCAGACCUAAGAAUGAGAGGAUACUCAUACCAGGCUGAUAAUGAAACUGAACAGCUGUAUUCUAGUGUUUGUAAAAAUUCAUGAUCCUAAGGAAGGGGCUAACACCUUCCCUUGAUGAAAGGAAAGGAAAGAAAGAGAAAAAGAUGGUAAAAUCUAAGCAUAAGGGUAACAGCUGUUGAUCUGAA